rnacentral:rRNA from 1 species
GGACUACAGGGGUAUCUAAUCCGGUUCGCUCCCCACGCUCUCGCGCCUCAGCGUCGGCCCUCGGCCCAGGAGACCGUCUUCACCACCGGUGUUCCGCCGGAUCUCUACGCAUUUCACCACUACACCCGGCAUUCCGUCUCCCUCGACCGCGCCCCAGCCGGGCCGUCCCGAGCCCAUCACGGGGUUGAGCCCCGCACUUACAGGCCCGACUGACCCGGCCGCCUACGCGCCCUUUACGCCCAGUGAAUCCGGACAACGCUCGCACCCCCCGUAUUACCGCGGCUGCUGGCAC